CCUUCUGUCCAUGGCUCUAGACAUGUCACAAUCAUCAUCUGUCUUAUGUGAGUCCCAGUUCUUAUAGCAGAGACCACCUCGUCACUGACCCAGAGCUGCAGGGUGCAGGUGUAGCACAGUCCUGGCCAGACGUAGGGACUGUCGGCCAUCUUGGAUCUCUCUUGGACCCAUCUCUGCUGGGACGCCUGACUAAGAUGACGCUGGCAUCCACAUCACCCUGAAGAUGAUCAUGAUGACAGUGAUGCAAGUAACUGCAUGGGGUUAUCUUCCAUCAAUGCCUUUGAGAUCUCUUCCUCUGCAAAUUCUACUAAUUGCCCUGAUGUUCAAAUUUGAGUUAUAGUUAAUAGUAU